GUGUAGGGCCGGCCCAGCGACUUGCUGUAACUAAUGGAAGGUGGCAGAAGUGACUGACGGAUCCGGGUCUAAGCCUUAAGGACUAGAAGCUUCUGCUUUUACUUAUUUAGGACCCCUGAGCGGACAUGUAAGAAGUCCAACCAUGUUCCUGAAGAGACCACAUGGAGAUGCCAUGUGAGAGAGAAGCUCUCAAACUACAUACAAGAGAACUGAGGAGCCCAGCUGACAGUAAGGACGGAGGCCCCACACGUAGGAUCCCAGUGGAGCCGUUAGAGCCAGCUGUGGAGGUGUCUUAGCCGAGCACGAAGAAGUAUCAAGGACAGAUCACAGAGAUAAAGAAAGUGAAGCCGGAUCUUUGGGAAUUGGAUAUGGCUUCUCAACUACACAUCUGGGAUUAGAGAAAGACUCUGCUUGAAGUUCUGCAGGCUAGAAUCUGAAGUCAGAGUGUCAACAUGGCAGUGCUUCCUCCAAAGGCUCCAUGGGAGAAUUCUUCUGUGACUCUUCCAGUUUCUGGUGGCUCCAGGCGUUCCUUGAGCUCUAGAGGUGAAGAAUGAAGCUUCCAACUGUGUCUUGCCACCCUGACCUCAUCUGAGUUAAAUCUAAGGAUUUGAGGGUUAAAAGCAUUGAGCUGAGUGAUGUCCACAGGCACAUGGUGUCAUUCACUCUUGGGAGCUCAAGAUCCCAGGACUCUACAGGUUGCCCAACUGUACCCUCGGAAGACCCCUCGGUGGAAGAACAAGCCUGAGGUCUUUGAGCAUCACGUUCUGCCCUCAUUGUGGAUUUCCAGACCCUUCCCCACAGAACAGCUCAGGUCGUGCCAUUACUGUGUGGCAUUGCUGGAGCUAGUUAGGGUCAAGGCAUUAACCAACCUGAUGGGAAGUCACUUCUGACUGGGAAGCUUCAGAGAGUGGCAAAAUAUUUGAGAUCAUCUAAGUCAUGUCUAGAUAGCCUUGUCUAAAGUAUAUGGUGUUUUCCACCAUAAUUUGGUUCCAAAUAGAAGAUUUGUAGAGUUAUCUCACCUAAACAUCUAUCCCAGACAGGAGCUAAAGAUGAGGUUUCUGCACCGGAUGACAUGUGUCUAUGAGGAGGGAUCCUGUCAUGGCUUGUUCCGCUGGCAACAGGGUUCUCUGGCCACCUCCAAGGUAGAGGUGCUUGUCCCAGGAGAGAAGGACACAGGGCAAGAGGCCUCUGUGGACCCUUGUUCUCAUGGUUGGGAGGUUGGAGUGUUGUUACUCUGCCCUUACGUGGCUCUGGAUUGGGUCUGUGAGACUGAGUUCCAGAGCAUUAGGAUCCGGGCCCUCUGUUUAUGUGGCGUUGAGUGCGCAGGGUGGAAGCUGCAGAAUCUAUAGCUACACAGUUUGAAGCCAUGUGGCCAGUUGAUGUCCCCUGAAUCUCAGUUCUGACGUAUUUUGUUGGACAAGAAUUUCUGACCUGUCAUUCAACAUACAAGGGAUUCCCAGGACUCUCCAGGUGGCAGAAAGAGGCUGCACAUUCUGGGAAACGGAGACCAUACUUUUAUAGAGGGGCAGCCUGGCAUGAGAUUAGAAAAGUCUCUGGCACGUGGUAGGUUAUUGAGUAAGAAAUACCUGGGUUCCAGCCCAGUCUGCUACCAAAUUAUCAGUGUAGUACCCAGUAAGUCAGGUGACUUCUCUGGGCUUCCGUCUCUUCAUUCAGAAAAUGAGAUGAUUAGAUUAGAAGGUUUUCAAAGUGUGCUUCACAGACAACCCGUAUCAGAAGGCCUGUAGUGCUUGUUGUAAUACAGAUUUCUGGCCCUCACUCUGGCAGGUCUGUAGGAAUAGCUACAAGUGGGCUGGAAAGCUGCAUUUUUACUAGCUCCCCAGGCCUCUCUUGAUACACACAAUACAUCCAGGACCAUCAGACAGGAUGAUCUCUAAGGUUCCCUGUGCUGACCUGUAAUAGGGCAGAUUUGACCUGAGAAAAGUAGGACAGUAAUCUUGGAUGAGCUUCCGUUCUUCCCACUCCCUUGGAGGCACUACUCCCACGGGAUCCCUGGCUUACUUGUCUGUCUACCUAAUCCACCGCCACUCCCCACCCUCACACUCCUGGGGUCUAAGGUCCAGGCCUGUCAGAGCUUGUUCUCCUCUUUUCCUGCCCUCACUAAGCCCAGUCAGCCUCGGCUGCAAUUAUUUCCUCACCCCCUCUGCAUCUGCCAAAAUGUGCAGGGGUCCACUUGCUAAGAGCGUUUUGGGAACCACUGAGUGUCGUGCUGAGAGGAGGUGCUCCUCUGGUAAGCUUACCCAGGCCAGAACGCCAGGGGAGAGGGGACAAGUGAGAGUGCUCCUCAAGCUAGAAUUCAAACCACUCCCAUCAAAACGUCAGUCUCCUAGAGACAACGACUCAUCCAGGAAAAUGAUUCCUCUGGGGGAGUUUCAGACCAGUUAGCGGUGGGGACGGCAACAUCCUGGCAGAUAUGUGGGUAACUACUUUUUAGAAGACAUGACUUUUCGAGGUUUUUGGAAUCUCAUCAGUAGGCAGAUGCUCCCACAGAAUAUCAAUUCUCCUUAUAAAACUGCACAAAGCUUCAUCUGCAUGGCCAUGAGGAGGAGAUUCAGGUAAAAUAUCUCGAACCUUGUGGAGAAACUCAAAAUACCUAGGGGCCAAUCCAAAUGUUCACCAGCCCUUCCCAAAAGUCUCAGCCUUGAUGAAUGUGAGCGUGUAGGGACUUCCAGCACCCUAACUAAACAUGGUUUCCAAGGGUGCAAUUCUCACCUGCUGCCUUGGUUUUCCAGGGCUUUUGAGAUUGCAAGAAUCAUGCAUUAGGGGUUAUUUCUACUUGUUUCAUAAAGAUGAAAGACUCAGUCAUAAGAGCGAGAUGUUCCCUCUGGAAUUUUCUCACGGGACUCUCUAUUAAGUUACCCAUGAUGUUCAACACAAUCCUAGUGAUUUAAGAGAACUCAAAGGAUCCCGAUAAGCAGCCAUGGUAUGAAGAUUAUUUUCCUUUUAGUGAAGGCGAAAACAGGAAGAUAUGAUUUUCUCAGAUCGUGUGGACUAAGCCAGUUAGGGGAGUGGUGUGGGUGGGCUUGGAACCCACUAAUCCCAUCUUUCUUGGGAAGUGCUACAAGAGCUACAUGGACAACUUGAGCCCGUAGGGUCUCUGAGCAACACACACACGUGAGCCGGGAAUCACAAGUCUGAGGAAAUGCCUCUGUUGGUUUCACCCAAUAUAUAUAUUGCAUCGUCAACCACAACAGUGCUAACACUGUACUAUAUGAGCAAUAACUAACAUUUAUUGAGUCCUUACUGUGAACUGGGACCUGAACUAAGAUUUUUGCAUAUCUAACCUCAUUUAAUUUCAUUGAAUAGUGGAUAUUAUUUUUAUUUCUAUUUAUACAAAUGGAGAAGCUAGAAUUUAGAGAAGUUGAAUGACAUCGCAAAUCACCCAGCUAUUGAGUGGUGGAUUCAGAACUCAAACCCAGGGUCUGUUCUCUUAAAAUAGGCAAUGAACAUGUGAAAAACUAACCUAAAUCCCAUUACUCAGAAGUAACCAUUUGUAACAUCACUGUUGCAAUGCUUUCCAGAUUUUCCACUAUGAAUAUUACAUAUAAAAUUUAUUUUUAUAUAUAUAUAUAGAUAUAUAUCCAUCUUUUGUAACCUGUUUUUUUCAUUUCACCUAAAAAUAUAUAGCCUGGAAAUAGUCUGGUCACUCCAGGUCCCCCAAGUUUUGGCAGCAGAAAAGUGCUUAUCCAGCAUGAUGCCCACAAAGCGUGCAAGGCGGUGGUUUUAUAAAACGCAAAGCUGGGCACCCAAGUAGAUAUCAAGACCACAAAGUCCGACAGCUUUGAAACCUACUCCAGCACAUUCUCACAUGCCUAUAUUUUACAGACAAGGGUAAUGAGCCCAAGAAUUACCGCCCUCCAGCUUCAGGGGAGUGAAAAAUGAAGGGUUGUUUUCCAAGUAAUGUGACGCCAGACAUCUGGCUCAACAGUCAACAGUGCCAGGCCUUCUCUGAAGGCCAGCGUUGGCCCCCACUUCCUUCUCACCACCGAAUGUCAUGGUGCACCCCAAACCAGGGAAAGUUGUCCUUCUACAGGAUGUAUAACUGCAAGAGGAAAGCAGGUUUUACUGGCUUGUGGUUUCCUAGGCUCUGAGAAUGUUGAAUACAGCCUGUGCAUUGGCAGCUGAAGAACUCGAGAGAAACCACGAGGUUGGAAUUGAUUAGUUCCUGUUGGUCCCUCUCUUCCGCCAAUAUCAGUACCUGUCUCUUGAUAAAUAGACACGUGAACACGCUCCAAACGCAAGGUCCUCGACAGCAAGCAAUAAAAAUGCGCCUUGACCCACUGAAAUAAAUUGUACCAAAUGGAGUUAUUGUUUCCAUUUAUUAUUUAUUAGUCAUGUCCCAUGGAGUGGCUAGUAGAAUAAAUAUUUUUUCCAGUGGAAAAUGAAUGUAUGACCUCUAGAGAAUAACUCCACAAUCAGAUGUAAUAAAGAUCACUGAACAACCAUUCUCCCCAGCUUGGGCUAAAUUUAAUUCUCUCUACCCUGAGCAAAAUUCCCUUUGAGGAUUAAUGUAUCUCUUUGUCACUUGAUCUUUUCUCAGUCCAUACCUCAUCUUGUCUCUCCAUCCCGUUCCUUCCUUUUCUAGCCAUCGUAACAAGUUCUCCAAUAGUCCCUUCCAGGUGCCAUAGUUAAAGAAAUAUGAGUGAGGUUGAUAGGCUUUAAAGGAGCCGAGUGGUCCAGGAAUGGGUUUCGAACUGAUUCAAAAGAGUGACUGUUUCGAUAUAAUAUUUGAUUUGGAACUGGAGGAAAUAUGACACUUAGCGACAUUAUCAACUUAUUCAGAGUCACCGUCACGUUAGGAUGUCUGAAGAUCAUAUCGAGAAUUUGAUUGAUUCGUCUCACCCCCAAAGAUGACUUAAAAGAAGAUGGAGUGAUUAACAUUUAUAAUCAUCUAGCAUAUACUUGAUAAUUUGGUAGAUAUAAAUAGCAGUAUUAAAGAUUUAUCAAAUGGAACACUGUUACUAGAUUAUUCUUUUAGCCAAAGGAGACAGUGCACUGAGGAAGGACCUAUUAGUUUUCCUAGCUUUUCUGCC
rnacentral:lncRNA from 1 species